rnacentral:rRNA from 1 species
CCUACGGGGGGCAGCAGUGAGGAAUAUUGGUCAAUGGACGCAAGUCUGAACCAGCCAUGCCGCGUGCAGGAAGACGGCUCUAUGAGUUGUAAACUUCUUUUGUACGGGGGUAAACGCAGAUACGUGUAUCUGUCUGAAAGUAUCGUACGAAUAAGGAUCGGCUAACUCCGUGCCCGCCGCCGCGGGAAUACGGAGGGUUCCAGCGUUAUCCGGAUUUAUUGGGGUUAAAGGGUUCGUAGGCGGUCGGUUAAGUUAGAGGGGAAAUCCCGAGGCUCAACUUCGGAAUUGCCGCUGAUACUGUUCGGCUAGAGAGUAGUUGCGGUAGGCGGAAUGUAUGGUGUAGCGGUGAAAUGCUUAGAGAUCAUACAGAACACCGAUUGCGAAGGCAGCUUACC